AUAGGGGAGCCGGAGGGAAACCGAGUCUUAAUUGGGCGUUAAGUUGCAGGGUAUAGACCCGAAACCCGGUGAUCUAGCCAUGGGCAGGUUGAAGGUUGGGUAACACUAACUGGAGGACCGAACCGACUAAUGUUGAAAAAUUAGCGGAUGACCUGUGGCUGGGGGUGAAAGGCCAAUCAAACCGGGAGAUAGCUGGUUCUCCCCGAAAGCUAUUUAGGUAGCGCCUCGUGAAUUCAUCUCCGGGGGUAGAGCA
rnacentral:rRNA from 1 species